rnacentral:rRNA from 1 species
CCUACGGGGCACAGCAGUGAGGAAUAUUGGUCAAUGGCCGGAAGGCUGAACCAGCCAAGUCGCGUGAGGGAAUAAGGCCCUAUGGGUCGUAAACCUCUUUUGUCAGGGAGCAAAGGCGUCCACGAGUGGACGAAAGGAGAGUACCUGAAGAAAAAGCAUCGGCUAACUCCGUGACAGCAGCCGCGGUAAUAAUGAGGAUGCGAGCGUGCUCCGGAUUUAUUGGGUUUAAAGGGUGCGUAGGCGGAGUGUCAAGUCAGCGGUAAAAUUUCGUGGCUCAACCCCGUCGUGCCGUUGAAACUGACACCCUUGAGUGAGUGAGAAGUAAGCGGAAUGCGUGGUGUAGCGGUGAAAUGCAUAGAUAUCACGCAGAACGCCGAUUGCGAAGGCAGCUUACCGGCGCUCAACUGACGCUGAGGCACGAAAGUGCGGGUAUCGAACAGGAUUAGAUACCCCUGUAGUC